rnacentral:lncRNA from 1 species
UGCACGUACAAAGAGAUGAUGAGAGGAAGACCCCCACUAAACCGAGCAACCCGGGAUGGUUCGCUUAGUGAAGAUGUUGACAGAAUAUUUGAGAUGUUGGAGAGACUCAUUGCUACCCAACAAUGCUGAGAGGAGAGGAGGGAACUACCUGACCAUCCCCCGCUGCCACAGUUGAGCCACCACUGCAGCGAAAGGAUCCCGA